rnacentral:lncRNA from 1 species
CACACAUGUACCCAUUGUCCCAAAGCCAUGUCCUCCAAAGCAAGAUUGGCCAAAGGCUUCCGAUGACAGCCAGAUGAAGACCUACCUGCAGAUCUUCCCCGGGAGGCCCGUGAUGCUUUGUCCCGCCGACAGACCUCAGCCAAGGCCAUCAAAACCAUCACAAGUAACUUGUAGCAUUGACUCAACAGCUCCACAGCGGCUGGAAAGUGCCCCAGUCACCAUCCACCCUACUGUCCUUGUUUUACAUGACACGAAAACCUCCUUGAAGAGAAGUGCCCAAGCUUCUGAAACCACUGAAGAGCACUUGCAGCCGGCAGCCAGGCAUCACACAGAAGCCACACGGCAUGGCCAGGUGAAGGAGGAUGAGGGUUUGGACCAAGGUAGGAGCAGUGAACAUGGAAAAUGGAAAUGAG